UUUGUUAAUGAGUUAUGUCGCACCACACAAUCAACACCCUUUCUAUUAUUAGUUUGUAAGAACAUUAAAACCUAAGAAGAAGAAUUUUCACUAUUCUUCGCAAUAACAAUUUCAAAUAAGUUUUUUAGAUGACAGCCGUGCGUUAAUACGUUAUAUUACAAGGUAAGCAUCGCAAUUAGGAAAACAAAAAAUGGAAUAUUAUAUCGCUAUUCAGACUGCCAAAAAAUCAGCUCGCGGUUCAAGAGUAGCUAUAAAUCAGCGCCGUUGCUACGGAAUAGACAUAGUUUCUUUGCUACAGUCGAUCUAUUUGGAUAUAAGAUGUUAAGGGGGGUGGUCCUUUUUGUUGCGUUUUACGUGUGUUAUGUAAUGGCUAGACCGGAAGUUCUUGAUUUAAUGCCUGCCGAAACAGCUCAAAGAGGUGGCUGGGGCUAUGGGGGCGGCGGUUGGCAAGGAGGAGGCGGCGGCGGUGGUGGCUGGGGACAUGGCGGCGGGCACGGCGGCGGCGGUGGCAGCUGGGGUGGACACGGUCACGGUCACCAUCACCACCACCACCAUCAUUAAUUAGACAGUAACGCCCAAUGAAAUUGUACAUAAAUCAUUUUUUUACUAAUAUAAUAUAACUUAAAUGCA